GUUAGAACAGGGUGGUAUCCAUAGAGAUAGAUAGAGGACUCAUCUAUACAGACCAUCAGGACCACGGUACCAAUGUUAGAACAGGGUGGUAUCCAUAGAGAUAGAUAGAGGACUCAUCUAUACAGACCAUCAGGACCACACCACCAAUGUUAGAACAGGGUGGUAUCCAUAGAGAUAGAUAGAGGACUCAUCUAUACAGACCAUCAGGACCACGGUACCACAACACCACCGUUAGAACAGGGUGGUAUCCAUAGAGAUAGAUAGAGGACUCAUCUAUACAGACCAUCAGGACCACGGUACCAUAACACCAACGUUAGAACAGGGUGGUAUCCAUAGAGAUAGAUAGAGGACUCAUCUAUACAGACCAUCAGGGCCACGGUACCAUAACACCAACGUUAGAACAGGGUGGUAUCCAUAGAGAUAGAUAGAGGACUCAUCUAUACAGACCAUCAGGACCACGGUACCAUAACACCAACGUUAGAACAGGGUGGUAUCCAUAGAGAUAGAUAGAGGACUCAUCUAUCUAUCUG